rnacentral:lncRNA from 1 species
GGAAUUUGAUUGAAUUAAUCGAAAGUGGAAUUACAACUUGAAGGAAAUGUAAAAGUCUGAAAGAAAAAGGGGAUGAGGAGGAAUUACAGAGAGAGAAUUGAGAGGGGACAGAGAAGACACUGCAACAUUACACAAUAAUGAUACCACUACACAUUCUAGACACUGCAUAAUAUAAAGGUAAUAUUCCCCUAUAAACCUAUCUGUUACUGCCAUCUGUGCUUCACCCAGGCUGCCAGAUAUAAUCUCCCAAAAGCUUAUUGGGCUUCUUCAGUCUUUUGCUCCUACGUUGCUGCUCUGCAGGCCCAAACUCUUCAACUUGAACUUCCUUGCUCCUACGUCGCUGCUCUGCAGGCCCAAACUCUUCAACUUGAACUUCUGGCCCAAUUACUUCUUUGUCCAUAGCUUGGUCCAGUGUUGGGUUCAUAACAGAUUCCUU